AUAAAAAGAAGCUCCAAGGUAGGUCUCCUAGCAUUCUCCAAAGACCCAGGCCCUAAGAACCUGGAAAUUGAUUCUCUUGUCGAGUACCGACCUGAAGAAUGAUGAUAUCAAGGCAGAAAUUGUUUGUGUCAUGCUUAUAUUCAAAUGAGUUUUUUUUUUCAGAUGCGAUAGGCGGGUGCGUUCCUCCAGCAGGUAUAGAAAGAACUCUACUGCCGUCGUGCGGAAAUGGGUUCUGUACCAUAUAGCCCAUUGAAAUUCCUUUUCAUGAGACCUGGAGAUGGGGAAGAAUUAGAAAAGUAGAGAAUUUUAAGAAACUCUAAGUUGGAACUACUUGCAUUUUCCAAAGACCCAGGCCCUAAGAACCUGGAAAUUGAUUCUGUUCUUAAGAACCACCACCUAAAGAAGGAGGUACUUAGAGGGAACCCUUGCUGUCUAGCAGAAAACAAGAAAAUAAAUCCCACAGGGAAGUUCUUGCAUUAAAUUAACGGAACCAGAACCAAGGGAUUCGUUGAUUCUGUGGCCCAAGUACAUCUGAGUCCUGUUUCUCGAACUUUCCUCGCUUUGCAGUACGACAGUUUUGCGAUUUUCGGCAUGUCUUACGGCUCUAUGUUUGUGCUGUAAGGCUUCCUGGGCAUCUUGGGAUGUUACCUUGGGAGAAGGCAAUCCCUAGAUUUUGGCCACACCCACAACUCCAUCCGCAUGGAAGCUCAGCUUGCUAGAGGUCUAUGUCUUUGGGAGUCUUCUCACAUCUAAAUGCCCACUGAUUUGCGUUUUGAAUUUCUUUAGCUACAUUUUGAUCAUAACAUUUGCUUCUAUCCUAGAAUGCCACUCUAAGAGGAAUUUAGAGUGGACCCUCGCGGGCUGGAAGUCCUAAUGUAUGACCAUUAGGUGGUACCUGUGUGAACAAGAUCUGGUGGAAAUACUCAGAUAAGUACACAUUUUUAAGAAUUCUUGCUUCCUGCUCCUACUCCUGCCCCUUGCGCCAAGAGUUAAAAGGUCUUUAUGUAAUGUAAUUAUAUCUGAAAAAUCCAAGGGGAACCAUUACAACACGGUUUGGGGUCUCAAAUAUACCCAGAGGUCUGGAGCCUGGUUAUGUCUUCUAGCAGAGUAGAUGUGUCUGAAAACCAGUACCAAAAGCCAGAUGGUAAUCUCAGCACUCUGUGGUUUAAAGAAUUGUGACUUCACAUCCCUCGUCAUGAUAGAGGAGUAGAGAAACAAAGUCUAUUUAGAAUGGCAUCAAAAUGAAUAAUGUAUGUUGUUCAUCUGGAAAUGGGAAGAAAACAUUCAUAUAAAUAAAAUAUAUGUGUAUAAGGAAAAGAUUAUGAUACAUGGUACAUGAUGUUUGAAAUUGGUAUUUCUUCUCACUGGGCUUUGCUUACUGCAUACUUUACUAUUUUCUUAAGAGUCUUAAGAAGUUUCCACCAUGGAAAAAUAUAUUAUUGAUAUGAAUAUAUGCCAGCUGUGUAAGGUACUGAUGAAGACUAAAGUGACUAUUGCGUGCAGUUAGUUUUAAUAAGAAAUGUGUAUAGAUGUAUGCAUCUGUAUGCAUGUUCACAUUUUUCAAGCUGUGUUUUUCUAUUUAAAUAAUAUUUUUCAUUUAUUUUACAUACCAACCACAGUAUCCCCUCCCUGUUCUCAUCUAAGGCCCCUUUUUUUCUCUCCUCCAUCUCCAUUCAGAAAGGGCCAGGCCUCCCGUGGACUUUAGCAAAGCAUGGGACAUCAAGUUGAGGCAGGACCAAGCUCUCCCCUUGCAUCAAGGCUGGGCAAGCCCUGCAUUCAGAAGACAAUGAGAUAUCAUGAGACAGCUCUGGAGAGAGAAUGCUGCUGGCUAAAGAAGGGGGUGAAUGAAGCAGCUCUUGAUUUCUUUAAAACAGUAAGGCACCUGAUGGAGACAAGAAGGGCGGGAGUCAAGUGCCUACUUGCUCUUGCAUGGACCUCUACUGCCAUCAUCCGGAUGGAGUUUCAAAUAUCACUGCGCCCGCGAGUUUUCUUCCCAUAAUUCUUAGCCAUGGCGGAAGAUGGCAACAGCAGACAUCUGUGGGUCCCCCGCAUGGGCCUCAGUGACUUCUCAGGCCCCAAGACAAAUAGACUUCGUUUUUCUCACCAGAACCUGGAGAAGGAAGCACCUUCCAGCACUAGGACACGAGCUAAUAGAUUCCUAUUGCAAGGGGAGUGCAAACCCCGCCCCUCCACGUCCUAUUCCUGGGCUACAGGACAGCUAUGCACUAACAACUGGGCCCUCAGUCUCUAGGGUCUGCAUUAAGACUCUGAAGGAUCCCAUGACUCCAGUCUGCCUUCACGAAAAGAGCAAUAGAAAAUGGAAAGACGGUCAAGCACAUCCAUUUGAAAAUCACCCUAACCCUCACCGGCAAAAAAAAAAAAAAAAAACGCCAGCAUUGACAAAAGCGGUCUAUACAUGCCUAAGGAUAUAUGAAACAACUCCCACAAGAUGGCGCAGUCGCCCCAUUGCAAAAAAAAGGCACCAUACAUAUGCCCUCUCUACUCCCGCCUUUCCAGUCUGAAAAAAACCUACAAUACAGAGCCAGAGUCCAGCAACUGUGGCAGCCCUGCCUUCUUCCUUCAGAGGGAGUAAAAUUGAUUUACUGAAGGCUUGGCUUCCAUUUUAAUUUUAUCUGAGUGCCACAGCUAAUAGAUCUGUUCCCUCAUCAGAAUCCACCAUUAAAACACAAAAACGCAUGGAAACUGAUGGAAGCAGGAGGAAAAGGGAAGGAGAUGGAGAGCUGAGGCGCCCACCUUCUCAGGCCAUGGCAUUGGAGUGACACAUACAUUAAAAGGACGAUAAAUUCCAGUCAGAGAGAUCAGAGAUUUGUGUCUAUAAACCUGUUCUAUAAAUAAAAUUAAAUAUUUCAUCAUGGGAAGGGUCCCAUGAUUUCAGUCUGUGCACACAGGGGAAAAAAAGUGGUAGGAGCCAGGCUUGGUCAUUUAAGAAUCCCCCUGACCCUCACCUUCAACAUGGCGAGAAGCCAUAUUGAGGAAGCAGUGUGUAUGCAGGUCUUUAUGAAAUGUUUUCCACAUGAUGGCAGUGAUGCCCCAGAGGAGCAAGAAAACCUCACUGCAGCUCUCUGCUCCCACCUUUCUGGUCAGGGAAAAAAAAAAACAAACUCCACUAUAAAGGCAGAGUGCAGCAGCAGUCCUGCCUUCUUUCUUCAAAGUGAUUUCUCUUAGACUUCAGCCUCUAUGAGCAUUUUCUACUGAUGCCACAUCUAGUGGAUGAGGACCUACACUAGCACCAAAGGAGGGAAGAAAAAAAUAAAGCAGAGACCGGAACUGCAAUCUGGGGCACCACCUUCUUCAUGCAUCUCCUCUUUUAAAGAAGAGUGCAGUCAAUGAUGGAGUCCUGCGUUUCUCCGCUCUUCACCCAGCAGACUUCUAGCUCCAGGCGUUUCUUAUGAUACUUGAUUCUGUUGUGGUCCUGGGGGCAAAUCUCAGCAUCCAGUUGGAGGUGGGAAGUGAAAGUGUUGCUAACUCAGUGCAUGGAGUAGAGAAAAAUUAGGCAUCAGGGAACUUGCUUCGUAGCCCAACUCACUUGUUCAUGCUCCAUAUUGUGAUGGAUGCAAUAGGCCUUGUGUGCGGUCUGUGAAGAGAAGUGGGUACUGCGAAGGAAGGAAUGUUCAAGAAUCCCAAGCAUUUUCAGGAAUGCACCAGCUGUGGUCAAAAGAAAUACCUUAAUGCUCUUCUCCUACCCUUCCUACAUGAAAACAUCACCAGAGAAAAGGUACCAGGAAACACAACCAUUUCGCUUUUUGGUGGUAACUGUUGAAGGGUCUUAUCUUUUUUUUUUUCCACCUGAAACCAAACUGUGUCCUAAAUCUACCACUUUCAAAAGAGCAUUCAUGUCUCAGAAAUCAAGCGCCCUUGCUUUCUCUAGAGAGCACUUUCCACUGAUCUGGACAUUUCUUCUCAGCACUCAUGUCGCUUAUUUGGCCACAGCAUCAAAUCUCAAGAGACAAAAGAGAUAUUCCACAUAAAGAGGGAGAAGAAUGCCAGGCGGUGGUGGCGCACACCUUUAAU